rnacentral:tRNA from 1 species
CAAAUUAUGCUAAGUGCAUUUAUUAGUUACAUUAAUAAUUUAUUUGUGCGAUUCAAAUUAAUUUGA